rnacentral:rRNA from 2 species
UACGUAGGGUGCAGGCGUUAAUCGGAAUUACUGGGCGUAAAGCGUGCGCAGGCGGUCUUUUAAGUCAGAUGUGAAAUCCCCGGGCUUAACCUGGGAACUGCGUUUGAAACUGGAAGGCUAGAGUGUGGCAGAGGGGGGUGGAAUUCCACGUGUAGCAGUGAAAUGCGUAGAUAUGUGGAGGAACACCGAUGGCGAAGGCAGCCCCCUGGGCUAACACUGACGCUCAUGCACGAAAGCGUGGGGAGCAAACAGG